rnacentral:snRNA from 1 species
GCCACUUCUCGGCCUUUUGGCUAAGAUCAAGUGUAGUAUCUGUUCUUAUCAGUUUAAUAUCUGUAAUUUGUUCAGCCUGGAGAAGAGAAGGCCGCGGGGAGACCUUAU